GACAAAGGAACCGUAACUCUGUCCUUCAAGUCAGAUGAUUGGAAGCAGCAUGGAUCAAAAUUAGCAAAUGUGCCAGAGGACUUUCAGAUUGGAAAGAGUGUAGAUUGUAAAGUGACAGAGAAAAGAAAGACAGGAUUGGAUGUAGUCUUAAAACCAUCAGGAGUGUCGGCUUUUCUACCCAGAAUUCACUUGUCUGAUUCCCUAGCAACUUGUGACCUCAUGUUGGAAGUUACAGAUGUUGGCAGUGUUCUUAAAAACUGUGUUUAUUUUAGUAGAUCCAAUGUCUUGAUAUUAAGUAAACGAAAGUCCAUUGUGGAUUACUGCAGAGAGAAUGCUGUUGUUACGAAUGUCACAGAUUUGAAGGAUGGCAUGUUGAUUCCUGGUACUGUAAAGUCCAUCCAUUCCCGGUUUGGCAUCUUUGUAGAGCUUCCUUCAGGACUGGUUGGACUGGCUCCAAACAGGUUUGUGUCGGACAGACAAUGGCAGAAAGCCAAGGAGCAGUACCACAUAGGUCAGGCAGUGAUCGCCAGAAUCCUCCAGUCUAACCGCGACGACAACAAAUGUCUGGUGUCACUAAGGAUGCAGGAGUGUUACCAAGGCAACACGGAGGUCGACCUGGUGGAGGACUAUUUAAUGGCUCUAGACAAGAUAGAAGACCAGAAAUCCAGGUUUCCACCAGGCAUCAAAAUUGGUGGAGUGUACAAAGCAAGCCUUGUUGGUAGAAGUGAUGACAAAAUGAUUUACAAAUUGGCCGACUCUGGAAUCUCAGUUUCUUGUCCACUUGAUCUCAUGGAUGAGGAGGAUGAAACAGACAAUAACAACUCAUUGGAGGUUGCAGUUCUGAAUUUCAAUGUCAAGGACAACUGUAUCAGUGUUGUGGCCAAGCAAGAUAUAGUGAAAGCCAUCAAUGGGAAAUCUAAAGCUAAGGGUAAAGUCAACCAGAAAGUUGAAGGAAAAGCUUUAAUGGUGUGUGAUGAAGUUACUGUGGUGAUUCUACAGGGCCAACUUGAGGGGCAGCUAGCCCAUGUCCCUACAAGAAAGCACUUGAACGAUGUCCUCAGCCCUACAUUUUCAACAGGACAAGAUGUCAUGAUCUUUGUUAAAAAAGUUGUGAAUGGUCACAUUGUUGGCGUACCAAACUAUCCAAUGAGUCGGACAAAGCAUCAGUCAGUGGAGGGUUUAGACAUAGAAGAUGGAAAAUUUAACCUUGAUCCAGGCAAUGUGGUUGAAGGUCGUUUACAGAAAUUGAAAAAGCGAUCUGGGAUUUUAGUGAAUUUAGUGGGUGGAGCCAAGGGUGUGGUGUGUUUGACAGAUCUCUACGACGAGUAUCAGAAUGAUCCGCUGUCUAAAUUUCAUCAGGGCCAGCAUCUGAAAUGUUACGUGAUAGAUCUAGGGCCCAAACAAACCUAUCAGUUGUCACUCAGAAGAUCAAGGGUGUUUAAUGACAAAUCAGAUGUGAAGGACCCAGAAGUCCUUGGGGUGAAGUCACUGAAAGUUGGCCAGGAGCUGAGGGGCUACAUUGUCAAGAAGACAAGCUCAGACCUCUUGGUCAGGAUUGGCAGAGACGUGUUUGGGACAAUAGAUGGGGCUGACUUCUCUCACAUUGAUAGGAGAACAAAGAGGCUAUUAUUCAAUGCUAAAAUUGUGAUAUCCACCAAGGUCAUUGGCUUGGAUGGAGAUAAGGUUCAUCUAAAAUUUCUUUCAUACAAAGAGGAGGAAUCAGGAAGAAAAGCUAUAAAAAGGCAGCACAGUGUGGAAUCUGUUACUAGUGAGGAAGAACUGAAGCCAAAACCAGGUGUAAAAUCUAAAGACAAACAGAAAACUGAGGAAACUCAGGAGUCAACCAAAAAAAAGAGGAAAAAAGUUGUUGAUAAAAAUAACAGUGAUAAGAAACAGUCAAAUGAAUUAUCGAAUGAACCAACAUCGGGCAGUCAGAACAGUACAGAUGAGUUACCCCGUCUGAAGAUUGACUACGCCUUCUCUUGGGAUGCAGACCUGACCCUACCCCCAACAGAAAAUAUGGAGAACAGUUCAGAUGAAUCAGAUUCAGAGGAAACUCAGAAGAAAACAAAGAAAAGCAAGAAAGAUAUGACAAAAGAAGAAAUCAUGCUAUUUGAGUUUGAGAAGAGACAGUUAGAGGGGUCGGUGCGUCCAGAGAAGACGGAGGACUUUGACCGGAUGGUGCUCCAGUCUCCAGACAGCUCCCUCGUCUGGAUCAGGUACAUGGCUCACCAUCUGGAGUCCUCCGAGAUCGAGAAAGCUCAGGCCGUGGCAGAGAGGGCACUCAAGACCAUUUCAUUCAGAGAGGAACAAGAGAGGUUGAAUGUAUGGGUGGCCUACCUGAAUCUGGAGAACAUGUAUGGGACGCCCGCCCAGCUUCAGAAAGUCUUAGAGAGGGCCGUCCAACAGAACGAGCCACUCAGUGUGUACCAGCAACUUAUCAACAUCUAUGUCAAGUCGGGAAAACUGGAGGAGGCAGAACAACUGUACAACAAAAUGGUAAAGAAACACAGUGCUAAUAAAUCCGUGUGGCUUGGAUUUGGGGAUUUCUUCUUUAGGAAUGGAAGAGUUGAAUCAGCGAGGAAACUGCUACAGAGGAGUUUAAACUCGCUGGAAAAAAGAGAUCAUGUGGACACAAUAUCCAAGUUUGCUCAGAUGGAAUUUAAGUAUGGUGAAGCAGAGAGAGGGAAGACCAUGUUUGAGAACAUCCUGGUAAACUAUCCUCGGAGAACAGACCUGUGGUCAGUGUACAUUGACAUGGUGGUCAAGUCCGGCGACCUGGAGGGGGCAAGGUUGCUCUUUGAACGAGUCAUCAAUCUUCAGAUGGCCAUGAAGAAAAUGAAGUUCUUUUUCAAGAAGUUUUUAGACUUUGAGGAGAAACAUGGAGAUGAGUCAAGUGUGGCAGCUGUGAAACAAAAGGCUCAGGAAUAUGUGGACUCGCACUGAUAUUGACUUCAGGGCUGGUCAUACGGUAGUGAUUGUGUUCAAUAAAUUACAUUUAUCUUUUACAUUGAUGAAGCGGAUGAACUUUUAUGUGAGCCUAUCUAUAUGGACUAUAGGAAUGGAGAGAAGGUUUUUUAAUGAUUGGAAAAGUGCAUGUUCAUUCAGACAGCUAGAAUAUCAAGUUUUGUUUGUCAACUUAACUACCAUGCAUUUGUAUAUGCUUAAUGAUGUUUUAAAACCCUUUCUUCAUACAUUAUGAAGUACACAUUUAUAAGGAGUAUCUUCAUAACGAAGGGAUUGUAAUAAAUAACGUAAAUAUCAUAUUUUGAUAUUUAUUCCUAAUUUUGUUUUGAUGAUGUUGUUAUAGAAUGUUGAUAAAAAUAAAUGUAAAUGAUG
rnacentral:misc_RNA from 1 species